AAAAUAUAUAUAAAAAAAAUUUCUAAGUGAUGAAUGCUUAGGGUAUUGCUGCUUAUUUCUUACUGUACUGUGGUGUCAACAUUUCUAAGUGUCCAUAGGACUUCUUUGGGCCUGAAUAUAUUAUCAGUUUUUAUAAAAGCAUUUGUGUAAUCUCAAAAUGUGUUUUUAUUCUACCAGUUCUAUUUGUUAACUCAAUUUUUUCAUUAUUUUAUUCAAAUCCAUAUUUUCUCUGACUUUCAUUUACUUUAGAGUUCUUAAUCUGGGGGUCCAUGGCCUGCCUAGGAGUCUUUAGCAUGUAGGGGUUUAGGAGUUGCAGACCCCUAGGGAUCGAACAAAGCUGGGUAUGUGCUUGAAGGAAUUUUGCUGGGACAAGGAUCUGUAGUAUUUACUAUAUUUUUAAAUGCCUCUGUGACACCAAAGCAGUUCAGAACACUCAUUUACCUGAUCUAAUCAUAGUUUGAUGUUUGUGUGUUAUAUCUCUAUGUAUUCCUGUUUCACUUUUAAUUUCUGUAUGUGUAUUGUCGCUAUGUUGUGCAGUUUUUCUCAAGUCAUUUUUGAGAAAUAGGCAGGGUAUGAAUUAUCAAUAAAUAAGUAUCAUGUUUGGGGCAUAUA
rnacentral:lncRNA from 1 species